ACCAGUUGGCAACUGGGAGGCUGCUCCAUAAGCUUGCACUUGUCACUGCUAAACCCCCGUUGCUUUCAGUGCAGCCCUCGAGGUUGCCUGGAGCUCCUGCUCCCCUGGACUGCCAGCAUCUCCCAGCUUCGUGCCACCCCCGCUGUCAUCGGCGCCCUCUCCCUUUGUGUCCUGAGGCCACAAGAUCAGUCCUGACACCAGGCCCCGCUGCGGGCCUGCUACCCGCGAGGUGGACCCCAGCGGUGUGGGGCCUCCCGGAGAAGGAAACUCCAACCAGCAGUGUGUCCUGGGAAGCCAACGUGGAGAAAGGCAAAGCCCCCGGCUGCAAUGCUGCUUCUCCAACAGCAUUUCUGGUGUCAAUAGGAGGAUGUGCGGAGCGGAGGUGGAUCACAUCCCUGCCCUGGGUCCUCAGCCCCAGGCAAUGGGUGAGAUGGGAGUCAAGUGCCCAGCUCCUUGGCUGGGAUGACAUAGUUGGGGCUGGUCCUGCUUGGAGCAGCAGACUGGACUAGAUGUGACCUCCUGAGCUCCCUUCCCACCUUCAUUUUCUAUGACUCUUAACUCCUAUGGGUGUUCAGGGUCACGGGGGUGCACAGCUCCCCCAGAAAGUCGCACCCCAUGCUCCUGCUGAUAGGCAGAGCUAGGCCCCAGCUGCCAAGUUUUGGAGUCUGAAGGUUUUGGUUUUGGGCCCAGCUCUGGUUUUCGGGAUGGAACAACCAGGCUGUGACCAAGACUAAAACUCUGUGACCAUCAGUCAAGGUGGGCUGAAGGUUUGGGUCACGCUGAAAAGGCAAUGCUGGGGAUACUUCGAGCUUAUCCCAAAAGAACCAACGGCCCUCGAGAGGCAGUGCAGCAUCCCGGCCAGCACCAGGGUGGAGGUAGCGCAGGCAAAGUACCAGGAAAGCUGACCUGGGAUAUGGCUGAUGAAGAGUUAAAGCAUAGAGCCAUGCUAAUGAUGGUCAUGAUUAUUUAUUAAUGAUCCGUUGCUGUAAUUUGCCAAUGCAUACAUUUCUUUAUGGAGCUUUAUGUAACUCCAUCUUGAAUCAAGUAGCCAGGGCAUAAGCAUUAAGUGUCCCUGAGCCCGUUGCAUUGGUUAAGAGCAAUUUCCAGCCCCUUCCAGCAAAGUAUCAGGAGCUGAUGGGUGCUGUGGAAAUGCCAGCUGGUGAGAACCCCACGGUGGCUUGAACGAGACAGCUCUUUUCAUGGCUUUCAUAGAAGAGGCCACAGCCAAAGCUGCUCUGGUUACGAAAUCCCAUCUUUAACUAACCCACUGCAAAUCCACAAGAGAGUGGCCAAGUGACUUCCUCAGCGUCAGACAGCAAGGCAGUGGCAGGGCCAGGAGGAGGACCCAAGAGUCCCGGCAUCCUCAGCUGCACUUUGAUCACACA